rnacentral:lncRNA from 1 species
CAGAAGAGCAGGAUCUGUAUGCACAGACCGGCAUCAUUUGAAGCCCUGCAGGGAAGCUUAAGCUCAGUGGGAAGAUUUGGAAGCUGCCCAAGCCAUGACCCUGCUUUAGCAGCAAAUCACCUGUGCAGUGAAGAUUUUACCUGCACUGCAUCAGUGCACUCCCUGUGAUGCUUGUUAGUGCUAAAAAUAAUUCUAACACUGAUUUCCCCUGGGUAAUUAGCCUGUGCAGAAUCAGAUUGAGAUUAGACUCUUUUUUGUUUUUUUUCUUGUGCCUUAUCAAAUUUAAGUCCAGGUAUUUGCCAUAUACUGCAGGGGGAAAAGGCUGUCUGAGUUCGUCCACAUUGUGCUGUAGGGAAUUCUGUGUCCCUUGCUGCCUUCUGGGAUCACACCCAGCUCUGCCUUCCACUUUGGACUUGGCUUUUUUUGCAAAGGAGGCACAAUGCUUGCUUGAUGGUGUUGAUGAUCCAAGGAGCAUCCUGCCCCUGGGAGGAAUGGUUCCAUUUAUGGCUCCCAGAGCCAGAAGACUCAAUUUAUAGCAAAAAGAUAAAAGAAGAAUAUGAAAAAAGGUCCUCAGUCGCUUUUCUCCCCGCUCCCUUAUCACCUUGUCAGCCUUGUUUCUCAGUGCACUGAAUUCAGACAUUAUAAACCUAAUGGAGGUUAUAAACUCAUAUUAGAACUGUGCAUAGCCAAAUAUUGUAUUGCAUAAGAGAAAUGUAAUUAUCUUUUCUUGUAAUUUGUACAAUGUCUUAUGCAUUAGGUUUUAAGUCAGUGAAUGUGCCAGACAGGCAGAGACUGGGGUGAAUAUCUUAUUCCAGGACAGCCAGAAUCAAUAGAGGUUUUACACUGAGGGAGUUCCAUUAGUUCCUUCCAAUUUGAACCUAUGCUAAUGUGCAUUCAAGUGAGGAGCACCUUCCUGACAGCCUCUGAUGCAUGUGUUGGUAAUUUCAGCUGCCAUGGAUUUAAGUGUUUAUUAGCAUUUAGUUGUAGCUGAAAACACACUGAGUGAAUUUGAAUUUAGAGGUGGCUGGCAUUCACACUGACCCAAAGUUUUCACCUUCAUUGGAUAAACAAAUGAGUACAAGGACUAAUAGAUGUAAUUAAUCUAGAGCUGUAAUAGUGCUGGCGCGGUGCUCAGGUGUGUUUUUGUCAUCUUGGCUGACUUUGAAGAUGAUACUUUAAAAAUAUUAACCAAGAGCAUCUUCAGUGUGCCUGGAGCACUUCUGGGUGUGCAGGGAAUGGUUCCAUAGUGAAGAAAGAUAGUUUCUUCUAUAAUUUCCAGUGUGUAAGCCAAUUUGGGUUUGUUCAGUCUAUUUGCUUGGUUAUAUUGAGUGCUUUUAUAAUAUUUUCAGUCUGUCUUGCAGUGUUUCUCACUUGUGGCUUUGCUGGCUUCCUGUCAAGUCAGUAAGUGAAGUAGAAUUGCAGGAUGAUUUCUCUAGGUUUUCAGUAGCAUUUGAAAUAUCUCUUAUAGCCACCUGGUAGAACAUCUAAAAAAUCAUUUAGCU